GUCCUGGCCUUAAACGAUGGAUGCUUGGUGUCUGGAGUUCUAUAGUCUCCGGGUGCCGUAGCUAACGCGUUAAGCAUCCCGCCUGGGGAGUACGGUCGCAAGACUGAAACUCAAAGGAAUUGACGGGGACCCGCACAAGCGGUGGAGCAUGUGGUUCAAUUCGACGCAACGCGAAGAACCUUACCUGGGCUAGAAUGCCUCUGACAGCCGUAGAGAUACGGUCUCCUAGGGAAACCUAGGCGGAGUGCAAGGUGCUGCAUGGCUGUCGU
rnacentral:rRNA from 1 species